rnacentral:tRNA from 1 species
AGUUAAGAAACUUAAGACAAGUGUAUACUUUGAAAGUAUAAAAUAAAAGUUUAAUCCUUUUAUUAACUC